rnacentral:rRNA from 1 species
AGCGAACGCUGGCGGCAGGCUUAACACAUGCAAGUCGAGCGGGCACUUCGGUGUCAGCGGCAGACGGGUGAGUAACACGUGGGAACGUACCCUUUGGUUCGGAAUAACGCUGGGAAACUAGCGCUAAUACCGGAUACGCCCUUUUGGGGAAAGGCUUGCUGCCGAAGGAUCGGCCCGCGUCUGAUUAGCUAGUUGGUGGGGUAAUGGCCUACCAAGGCGACGAUCAGUAGCUGGUCUGAGAGGAUGAUCAGCCACACUGGGACUGAGACACGGCCCAGACUCCUACGGGAGGCAGCAGUGGGGAAUAUUGGACAAUGGGCGCAAACCUGAUCCAGCCAUGCCGCGUGAGUGAUGAAGGCCUUAGGGUUGUAAAGCUCUUUUGUCCGGGACGAUAAUGACGGUACCGGAAGAAUAAGCCCCGGCUAACUUCGUG